GACGAACGCUGGCGGCAUGCCUAAUACAUGCAGGUCGAGCGAACAGAUGAAGUGCUUGCACUUCUGACGUUAGCGGCGAACGGGCGAGUAACACGUAAGGAAUCUACCUAUAAGCGGGGGAUAACAUUCGGAAACGGGUGCUAAUACCGCACAAUAUCUUCUUCCGCAUGGAGGAAGUUUGAAAGACGGCUCUGCUGUCACUUAUAGAUGCCAUUGCGGUGCAUUAGUUAGUUGGUGGGGUAAUGGGCUACCAAGCAGAUGAUGCAUGGCCGACCGGGGAGGGUGAUCGGCCACAUUGGGAGUGAGACACGGCCCAAACUCCUACGGGAGGCAGCAGUAGGGAAUCUUCCGCAAUGGGCGAGGGCAUGACGGAGCAAUGCCGCGUGAGUGAAGAAGGCCUUCGGGUCGUAAAACUCUGUUAUAAGAGAAGAACAAAUUGUAGAGUAACUGCUACAGUCUGGACGGUAACUUAUCAGAAAGCCACAGCUAACUACGUGCCAGCAGCCGCCGUAA
rnacentral:rRNA from 1 species